rnacentral:rRNA from 1 species
UACGUAGGGGGCAAGCGUUGUCCGGAAUCAUUGGGCGUAAAGCGCGUGUAGGCGGCUUCGUAAGUCCGUUGUGAAAGUCCAGGGCUCAACCCUGGAAUGCCGAUGGAUACUGCGGAGCUAGAGUCCGGAAGAGGCGAGUGGAAUUCCUGGUGUAGCGGUGAAAUGCGCAGAUAUCAGGAAGAACACCUAUGGCGAAGGCAGCUCUCUGGGACGGUACUGACGCUGAGACGCGAAAGCGUGGGGAGCGAACAGG